rnacentral:lncRNA from 1 species
UUUUGGUAUAAAAAUAUUUUUGUCUACAUGAUGGUUGUUUGGAUGAAUAGCAAGAUCAGAUAUUUUGAAAUUUUUAAUUUACAUUUUGAUGUGUUUGGUGAUGAUUAUCACCUUAACAUAUGGUAUGGAUGAAACAUUGUGAUAUAUGGUUAAUAGGUAUGCUUGACUUUAGACUUACAGAUGAUGAUAUUUAUAAUGAAUAAGUAUGGAUUCUCCAACAUUGUGUAUACUUCUAUUUGGAUGAGCAAAUGUAUUGUGCAAUAUGGAUAUUGGAUAGGCUGUGUUGGUUGUACAGGAUUUGGAACGAGC